AGUGAACGCUGGCGGUAGGCCUAACACAUGCAAGUCGAACGGCAGCACAGUAAGAGCUUGCUCUUACGGGUGGCGAGUGGCGGACGGGUGAGGAAUACAUCGGAAUCUACUUUUUCGUGGGGGAUAACGUAGGGAAACUUACGCUAAUACCGCAUACGACCUACGGGUGAAAGCAGGGGAUCUUCGGACCUUGCGCGAUUGCAUGAGCCGAUGUCGGAUUAGCUAGUUGGCGGGGUAAAGGCCCACCAAGGCGACGAUCCGUAGCUGGUCUGAGAGGAUGAUCAGCCACACUGGAACUGAGACACGGUCCAGACUCCUACGGGAGGCAGCAGUGGGGAAUAUUGGACAAUGGGCGCAAGCCUGAUCCAGCCAUACCGCGUGGGUGAAGAAGGCCUUCGGGUUAUAAAGCCCUUUUGUUGGGAAAGAAAAGCAGCAGGUUAAUACCCCGCUGUUCUGACGGUACCCAAAGAAUAAGCACCGGCUAACUUCGUG
rnacentral:rRNA from 1 species